AUUGAACGCUGGCGGCAUGCCUAACACAUGCAAGUCGGGCGAGAGGCGGACGGGUGAGUAAUGUAUGGGGAUCUGCCUGAUGGCGGGGGAUAACUACUGGAAACGGUAGCUAAUACUGCAUACCAUCAGAUGAACCCAAAUGGGAUUAGCUAGUAGGUGAGGUAACGGCUUACCUAGGCGACGAUCCCUAGCUGGUCUGAGAGGAUUAUCAGCCACACUGGGACUGAGACACGGCCCAGACUCCUACGGGAGGAAGCAGUGGGGAAUAUUGCACAAUGGGCGAAAGCCUGAUGCAGCAAUGCCGCGUGUAUGAAGAAGGUCUUCGGGUUGUAAAGUACGUUCAGUCGGGAGGCGUUACCGACAGAAGAAGCACCGGCUAACUCCGUGCCAGCAGCCGCGGUAAUGC
rnacentral:rRNA from 1 species